rnacentral:pre_miRNA from 11 species
GCUUAGGUCCUGAACCAAAGCCCCUCGAGGACAAUGUGAGUCUUUCUAUUGACUUCAGUGGGCUUAGGAUCAGGCCCUUAAUGC